rnacentral:misc_RNA from 1 species
GUGGACAGGUAAAAUGGAUUUAAUAGCUUCAAAAGGAAAUGGACAGCUUUAGUUUGUAAACUUGCAACUCACAUGAAAUGAAUGGAUGCUAAGGUGGCGAGGCCAAAAAAGGAUCGAGGUUCCAGUAAAAAUUAAAAAUAAAAGCAGAAACAUAUAUAUACACAUAAAGUCAUAAAGAAAGUGGCCUAUAUCUUCCAGUCAGAUCAUCUCAAUUUCCUAAAAUCAUAGUAUUCAUAGGAACCUUAUAAAACUCUCCUCCUUACUAAUCCAAUUUGACAACCAACUCAUAGGAAAGUAACAGCAAGCAACUACAGUUGAAUGCAAAAGUAACUACAUCAAGGAUAUACUAAC